GAUAUUUGGCAUGCAUGUGUAUCUCAUGCAGCUGCAAAUUUUGAGUGGUGAAAGGUCAAGGUCAUCCUUCAAGGUCAAAGGUCAAAUUUAUGGCUUCAAAGCAGCGCAAUAGGGGGCAUUGUGUUUCUGACAAACACAUCUCUUGUUCUUUCCUAAAACUUUAACCUUCGUUAAAGUUUGGUCAUAACUUUUUAUGCCCCCCUUCGAAGAAGAGGGGGUAUAUUGCUUUGCUCAUGUCGGUCGGUCGGUCGGUCGGUCAGUCGGUCGGUCGGUAGGUCGGUCGGUCGGUCCGUCCACCAGGUGGUUGUCGUAUGAUAACUCAAGAACGCUUGGGGCUAGGAUCAUGAAACUUCAUAGGUACAUUGAUCAUGACUCGCAGAUGACCCCUAUUGAUUUUGAGGUCACUAGGUCAAAGGUCAAGGUCACGGUGACCCGAAAUAGUAAAAUGGUUUCCGGAUGAUAACUCAAGAACGCAUACGCUUAGGAUCAUGAAACUUCAUGGGUAGAUUGAUCAUGACUCGCAGAUGACCCCUAUUGAUUUUGAGGUCACUAGGUCAAAGGUCAAGGUCACGGUGACCCGAAAUAGUAAAAUGGUUUCUGGAUGAUAACUCAAGAACGCAUACGCCUAGGAUCAUGAAACUUCAUGGGUAGAUUGAUCAUGACUCGCAGAUGACCCCUAUCAAUUUUGAGGUCACUAGGUCAAAGGUCAAGGUCACGGUGACCCGAAAUAGUAAAAUGGUUUCCGGAUGAUAGCUCAAGAACGCAUACGCCUACUAGGAUCAUGAAACUUCAUGGGUAGAUUGAUCAUGACUUGCAGAUGACCCCUAUUGUUUUUGAGGUCACUAGGUCAAAGGUCAAGGUCACGGUGACCUGAAAUAGUAAAAUGGUUUUCGGAUGAUAACUCAAGAACGCAUACGCCUAGGAUCAUGAAACUUCAUAGGUAGAUUGAUCAUGACUCGCAGAUGACCCCUAUUGAUUUUGAGGUCACAAGGUCAAAGGUCAAGGUCGCAGUGACCCGAAAAAGUGAAAUGAUUUUCGGAUGAUAACUCAAGAACGCUUUUGCCUAGGAUCAUGACACUUCAUAGGUACAUUGAUCGUGACUCGCAGAUGACCCCUAUUGAUUUUCAGGUCACUAGGUCAAAGGUCAAGGUCACAGUGACAAAAAUCGUACUCACACAAUGGCUGCCACUACAAUGGACAGCCCAUAUGGGGGGCAUGCAUGUUUUACAAACAGCCCUUGUUGAAUAUUGAAGAUAGCAACUUGAUAUUUGGCAUGCAUGUGUAUCUCAUGAAGCUGCACAUUUUGAGUGGUGAAAGGUUAAGGUCAUCCUUCAAGGUCAAAAGUCAAAAAAUACAAUCCAAGGGAAGUAAUAAGCUUUAAAAGGGAGAUAAUUUCUAAACCUGCCAAAUGAUAUAUUGAAAUUUUAUUUCAAAGCGGCGCAAUAGGGGGCAUUUUGUUUCUGACAAACACAUCUCUUGUUUUUUCAUGAU